GAUGAAGGGCUCAGGGUCAGCGUGCCGCCAACCCGGUCAGGUUCGGAAGAAAGCAGCCGUAACGGCAAAUCUGAGGUCUGGGUUCCUUCUCCUUU
rnacentral:SRP_RNA from 1 species